rnacentral:rRNA from 1 species
AACGAACGCUGGCGGCAUGCCUAACACAUGCAAGUCGAACGAGACCUUCGGGUCUAGUGGCGCACGGGUGCGUAACGCGUGGGAACCUGCCCUUAGGUUCGGAAUAACUCCCCGAAAGGGGUGCUAAUACCGGAUAAUGUCUUCGGACCAAAGAUUUAUCGCCUUUGGAUUGGCCCGCGUUGGAUUAGCUAGUUGGUAGGGUAAAAGCCUACCAAGGCGACGAUCCAUAGCUGGUCUGAGAGGAUGAUCAGCCACACUGGGACUGAGACACGGCCCAGACUCCUACGGGAGGCAGCAGUGGGGAAUAUUGGACAAUGGGCGAAAGCCUGAUCCAGCAAUGCCGCGUGAGUGAUGAAGGCCUUAGGGUUGUAAAGCUCUUUUACCCGGGAUGAUAAUGACAGUACCGGGAGAAUAAGCGCCGGCUAACUCCGUG